rnacentral:rRNA from 1 species
AUUGAACGCUGGCGGCAGGCUUAACACAUGCAAGUCGAGCGGGGAAGGGUAGCUUGCUACCUGACCUAGCGGCGGACGGGUGAGUAAUGCUUAGGAAUCUGCCUAUUAGUGGGGGACAACAUUCCGAAAGGAAUGCUAAUACCGCAUACGCCCUACGGGGGAAAGCAGGGGCUCUUCGGACCUUGCGCUAAUAGAUGAGCAUAAGUCAGAUUAGCUAGUUGGUGGGGUAAAGGCCUACCAAGGCGACGAUCUGUAGCGGGUCUGAGAGGAUGAUCCGCCACACUGGGACUGAGACACGGCCCAGACUCCUACGGGAGGCAGCAGUGGGGAAUAUUGGACAAUGGGCGCAAGCCUGAUCCAGCCAUGCCGCGUGUGUGAAGAAGGCCUUUUGGUUGUAAAGCACUUUAAGCGAGGAGGAGGCUACUGAGAUUAAUACCCUUGGAUAGUGGACGUUACUCGCAGAAUAAGCACCGGCUAACUCUGUGCCAGCCGCCGCGGUAA